rnacentral:rRNA from 3 species
UCUAAACGACUCUCGGCAACGGAUAUCUCGGCUCUCGCAUCGAUGAAGAACGUAGCGAAAUGCGAUACUUGGUGUGAAUUGCAGAAUCCCGUGAACCAUCGAGUCUUUGAACGCAAGUUGCGCCCGAAACCACUCGGUUGAGGGCACGUCUGCCUGGGCGUCACGC